CCAAACGCCUGUCGCUGAAUUCAGCCCGAGUUUUUGGAGGUGCCGGACUCCUCCGGUUCCUCUCCCUUUCUGAGCAGUCCCUGGCGGCUCAGCAAUUCUGCGCUGUAUUUUUCCAAAUCGGGUCAUUAUGCUCCCUUCUGCUUGAAAUAUCCCAGCUCCCAGCUUUCAAACUCUUUGAAUAAUUCAUCUCCGCUCAGAGCGCCUCAGGAGUUGCGGGAUGCUAAAAAAGAGGCUGGAGAUGGGAGGCUGAGAUCAAAAGCAGACAGCUUGGAGGUGUGGAGACCCUCUGCCCCUGCCUGGGCACCCACAGCCUCGUCGCACGCUGGGUCCCCCAUGCUCUGUGAUGCCUGGAACAUCACGCACACCCCUCUCUGACCCAGUGGUGCUGCCCAGUUCUGAUUUGGGGUGGAUUUGGGGAAGUCCCUGGCUUGGGACGCGCAGCAGUGCCGGUGCUGGCAGAGCUGCUGGCGAGAGCAGCUUCGGGGACAUGUCAGCAGACACAGGGGUGGCUUGCUGAGGCGGGGAGGGCUGGAGGGUGCCUGGAGAGCUUUCCUCGCAGCCCGCAAGCCCCCAGCUCUUCCCUAGCAAUGCCAGAUUUCCUUCUCCGUGCCAGGAAAGCGGGCAGCAAUCUGGUGAGGCCUGGAGCAGCGCUCUGCACCAAGCAGAGUGCCGGUGCCUCCAUUUCCUCAGCUAUAAAAUGGGAAGAAAAGUCUUGAAUGCUUGCAAAGAGCACAUUCGAGGGAGGCCGAUGCAGUAACAGCACCCUGAAAAUGGGGGUGCUCUGCACCGCAGCCCCGGCUGCUCUCACCCACUCUGUCUCCGUGCCCAGGUACCGGGGCUGGCUGGUUCGACGCCUCUGCGGCUUCCUGGCUGUCUGGGACUGGAAGGUGCCCGCCGACACCCCCAGGGACCUCCCGGAGAGAGUCUGCCGCAGCCGCAGGGUACGGGACGUCGCUGCCAGGCAGGCCCGUGGCUCGGGGGGGAACAGCGAGUCCCGCCAGGGGUGGAAGGAGAAAGUCCUAGAGAUCCUGGCUGGGAUCCAGGCCCCGCUCUCCCUCCCCGUGCUCAGGUGGGUGCGGGGCCGUGCGGCUGCUCCCAGCCCCAGCUUGGCCAUUCCCAGUCCCGCUCCUCCGCUCCAGCUCCCUCCUGCUCUUCAGGUGGGGCAUGGAGCCCCUUGCAAGGGGGGAUUGCUCCUUGGGGUCUCGCAUGGCCUCCUAGGGAUAUUUCCCCCUCUGCAGAGCUGGAAUACAAAAUGCUGGAGUGGUGGUGGCGGGGGGAGCCACACCAGGGGGGUGGAAAUCAAAGCAAAGCAAAGGAAAAUUUCUCCUUUUUCUCCCCCCCCCCUUUUUUUUUUUCCUUUUACCUCCUGUCAUUGAGAAAUUGGCAAUUAAAGGUUGCAUUGUACCCUAAUUGCUCGUCUGAUUGAGCUGUAAUAAAAGAACCUUCUGAGCAGUCUGAAGUAUUUAA
rnacentral:lncRNA from 1 species